rnacentral:rRNA from 1 species
AUUGAACGCUGGCGGCAUGCUUUACACAUGCAAGUCGAACGGUAACAGGCCGCAAGGUGCUGACGAGUGGCGAACGGGUGAGUAAUGCAUCGGAACGUGCCCAGUCGUGGGGGAUAACGCAGCGAAAGCUGCGCUAAUACCGCAUACGAUCUGCGGAUGAAAGCGGGGGACCUUCGGGCCUCGCGCGAUUGGAGCGGCCGAUGUCAGAUUAGGUAGUUGGUGGGGUAAAGGCCCACCAAGCCGACGAUCUGUAGCUGGUCUGAGAGGACGACCAGCCACACUGGGACUGAGACACGGCCCAGACUCCUACGGGAGGCAGCAGUGGGGAAUUUUGGACAAUGGGCGCAAGCCUGAUCCAGCAAUGCCGCGUGCAGGAAGAAGGCCUUCGGGUUGUAAACUGCUUUUGUACGGAACGAAACGGCUCUGGUUAAUACCCGGGGCUAAUGACGGUACCGUAAGAAUAAGCACCGGCUAACUACGUGCCAGCAGCCGCGGUAA